CUGCUUCUGGGCACAAUUUGGUUGUCCCUUAAUCUCCCAUGUGAGACUAACAAGGGCCAUAAUCAUAGCACAGUAAUGAUGGUAUAUCCACCUGCAAAAGCAAAUCAGGCAUCUUUGCUGAAGUAUUACUUUUUCCAAGUAGAGAAAUAAUAUAAAUAAAGUAACCAAACUAUAUGGCACGCCUGUACUUUAUGAAAAAUAUCAUAUUCAAGUCGUUCAAACUUCAAAAGGUCAAAAACCCUGAUGGUAACCCAGCCCCACAAAAGAACAGACUUGCACCAGAGACAUUUAUGAUUAAAGUGAUAAUAACUCAAUUGCAUCUAACAAUGGUACCUUUUACAGUGAUAUAUUCUUAAAAGCAAAUAAAAAAAAUGAAAAACGAAAAGAGAAAACAAGAAGAGAGCUAGGCCCGUGCACGAUCUGGUUCGGAACCGGGCUGGUCCAACCUGGAACUGAUACCAGACUGAGCAGAACUGGUCCUGGUAGUCAGGUUCGACUCUAGGCCAAAACCAGAUUUUUUUUUUCUUCUAAAAAAAUAUUUGAAAAAUUUUUAAAAGAAUUUAGCCGUUAGAUUUGAUCAAAACCAGAAUUGGAACCGACGGAGACCCUGCAGUUCUGGUCCCCCUGAACCUUGAACUGAUACUAGUGGCCACCACUAAAAAGAGUUCCAUGAUCAAGAAACCCUUAAAUGACAAAAUGUGGCUCUCCUUCAACAUUUUUCUGCAUUAAAUACAUAUAAAUAUUUAUGAGAAGAAGAAAGGAGAUUCCAAAACUCAGAAUCAUGUUUUUGACCAAAAUUGUGAUCUUGUAACCAAAAAUGAAAGCAACAGUAAUACAAGAUAAUGUAAAAUGAAAAGUUUUUAGACUAGAAAUAAAAAAUUGGUUAUUAAUGCAAGUGCUAUAUGGUUACAUCAGGCAAAGAACAGCCAAGACAGCAAACUGUAUUGCAGAGAGAAAGCAAGAGAGGAAAAGAAACCACAAACUCACAAAUUCCUGUUGCAUUACUCAAAGAUGAAUCAUCAACACUUUACGAACUUCCAACCCAUGAGCUUGGAAAUAGCAAAAUCACUUUCUCCUUUAAGACCUUGGGAAUGUACAAAUUAACAUUGUACAAAUCCGCAAAUUUUGAAAAUAUUAUCAGACAUGUUCACAAAAUGUCAAUACCAAGUGUCUUUGAUCUCAUCAUGCAUUUGUUAUCCACACCACUCGUAUUGAGACAAAAUGAAAUCUCAAAUCCUUCUGUUAAUAUGAUUAUUUCCAAUAUUUUCUGUCCAACAGGAUAAGACAUUAUUGUUACCAGUACACUUUUCUAUCCAACAGGAUAAUACACUGUUGUAACCACUAAUAAAUCUCAAAGAAUAAAUUUAGACAAGGACAAUGACAUAACAGCUAUAGUUAUCAAGAUAUACUCUUAAAAAAGGAAUGUGACAUAACAGCCAUGACAUGCUCAAGGUCUUCAGAUCUUGCAAGGAGCUAAACAGCAAGAAAAACUGUUCUCAGUAGUUUUGAAAAAUUAGCCCACUCAUCCUCUAAUUUGAUAUGAUCUUAUGGAAACCACAAGCUCGUAGAACAUGUAAAAUGUCACUAGAAUACUAUAUUGAGCUUAUCACAAGUUUCAUUACUCAUAUCUAGUAUGGGAUAAUAACCAUUUGAGUGCCCAAACAUGUGUAUGAAUGAAGAAAAAUUUGUAAUCAAGUGCCUUUGCACUUUUGAAUGACCAGAAGUACCAAAAAGUCUAAGCUCUCAAAUAGAAACCUAAAAAGCUUUAAAACGUUUAGCAAUCAAAAUGUCUUUAUCCCUUCCAAAUUAGAAUAAGAAAGAGGACAAAAUGAAAAAUAAGGGAUAGGGGCAAAAAGAAGAAAGAAAGAAACCAAAAAGAGACUUUGCAGGAAAAUCAAGCAAUAAGCUGCACAUUCAAUUCAUCAACACUCUGAGGCUCAGUUUGAAAUUGUUGUCGGAAUUACUAUUAAGAAAAGUACCUCUUUAAAUUAGUUAGAGAUUAUUAUACAUUAGUUUAAAAUUAAAUUUGACA
rnacentral:misc_RNA from 1 species